CGCGUAGGUGGUAGUGUAAGUCUGGGGUGGAAUGCCGGGGCUUAACCCUGGAAUUGCCUUGGAAACUGCAUUACUUGAGUCAGUGAGGGGAGGGUAGAAUUCCUGGUGUAGCGGUGAAAUGCGUAGAUAUCAGGAGGAAGGCCUGUGGCGAAGGCGGCCCUCUGGUGCUGGACUGACACUGAGGCGCGAAAGCGUGGGGAGCAAACAGGACUAGAUACCCUGGUAGUCCACGCCCUAAACGGUGGGCACUAGGUGUAGGGCUCGUAAGGGUUCUGUGCCGAAGGGAAACCAUUAAGUGCCCCGCCUGGGGAGUACGGCCGCAAGGUUGAA
rnacentral:rRNA from 1 species